AAAGUCGUAACAAGGUUUCCGUAGGUGAACCUGCGGAAGGAUCAUUAACAAAUCUUUCACAAAACCUGUGUAACUGUCUGUUCCUGGAGUGGAGUGUGGGUGAGUUGUGUGAGAGCGCGCGGUAUGUGGGGAGUGCUGCUGCUCUGUUUGUGCGUUCAUUAUAUUGUGAACUACAUGCGCACAGUCACACACACACACACGCCAGGACAACUAACAUAACAAACUAUAGUCAGAGCAUCAUAUAUAUAACAUAUACAACUUUUAACAAUGGAUCUCUUGGCUCUU
rnacentral:misc_RNA from 1 species